rnacentral:tRNA from 1 species
AAGAAAGUGACAGAGUGGUGAUGUGGUUGGCUUGAAACUAAUUUAUGGGGGUUCAAUUCCUUCCUUUCUUG